rnacentral:rRNA from 1 species
GAUGAACGCUAGCUACAGGCUUAACACAUGCAAGUCGAGGGGAAACGGCAGCUUAGCUUGCUAAGCUGGACGUCGACCGGCGCACGGGUGAGUAACGCGUAUCCAACCUGCCCCACGGUGAGGGAUAACCCGCGGAAACGCGGCCUAAUACCUCAUGGCCUCCGAGCUUGACAUCAACCUUGGAGUAAAGAUUCAUUGCCGUGGGAUGGGGAUGCGUCUGAUUAGCUUGUUGGCGGGGCAACGGCCCACCAAGGCUACGAUCAGUAGGGGUUCUGAGAGGAAAGUCCCCCCACAUUGGAACUGAGACACGGUCCAAACUCCUACGGGAGCAGCAGUGAGGAAUAUUGGUCAAUGGGCGGAAGCCUGAACCAGCCAAGUAGCGUGCAGGACGACGGCCCCUAAUGGGGGUUUGUAAAACUGCUUUUUAUGCGGGGAUAAAGUGGGCCAGCGUGGCCUUUUGCAGGUACCGCAUGAAUAAGGACCGGCUAAUUCCGUGCCAGCAG